AUUGUUAUUAUUAACAAAUAUAAUUAAGAUAACUGAAACGAAGUACAUAUGUUAUUUUUCGUUCUUGUUCGGUUUUCUUAAAUGUUUGAAAAUAUCGCAUGUACUUUUUAAAAUAUAGAUAUUGUGAAUUGUGUUGACAGGAGAAGCGAGCGAUUGUUGCGGUAUUUAUGUAGGUGAUUGCACCUUGCACUAGCAAAUAUGCAAUGUUUAUUAAAAUAUCCAAAGCAACAAUAUGUUGUUUCACAAAAACUUAGUGUCCUCUUAAAAUACGAUGCAAGAAAGUACGGUGCUAUUAAAGUUGUUUCCUCGAAUAUUAACCAUAACAAUGAGAUAACUAGGUUAUGUUUUCCAGUGUCUCAUAGGCUAUACACAAAAAUUUGUAAAGAAUUGCGGGGAUUCCAGUCAUUAUUCUUAAAAAAUGACUUUUCUAAAACUUGUGCAAGAAACUUUAGCACUAAUGCUACCAAUAGGCAAUCUUCUCAAGAUUCCAAUAAACAGUCUUCUAAUGAGUCGAAUAAACAGUCUUCUAAAGAUUCCAGUGGAAAUUCUUCUAAAGAUCCUAAUAAGGAUGACUUUGACCCAAUUGAAUUGGUAGUUACAAAAUAUUUUCUAGUGGGAGUGCUUAUGUUCAUCACUUUGUACUGGUUUGUUAUAGAGCCCAUAUAUACGGUGAAUGCAGUAGGUUGGAACGAUUUUGUAAAUGACCUACUUCUAAAAGGAAAAGUCACAGAGAUAUAUGUAUAUCCAGGCCUGUCUAAAGUUUCUGCAGUAGUUCGAACAAAUGCUACCUUUAGGGGAAAGAGAUUAUUCCCAAAUGUUACCAUAACUGAUGUGGUUGAUGUUAAAGAUAUCGAAGAAAGAAUUAGAGCCAUAGAAAAACGUGUUGGCAUUAGAUUGGAGGAUGGAAUUCCCAUUAGAUACAUAUCCGACCCAAGUCCUUUAACAGAAUUGAUAAUGAUAGCUAUACUUUUUGGUGUACCCCUCUUAUUUCUACGUAGAAAUAAAAUGAGAGGCAAAUUCAAUUUCUUUGAUGUAACAAAAGCAAAAUUUACAUUAGUAGAACCUUUUUCUGGUAAAGGUGUACAUUUUAGUGAUGUUGCUGGUUUAAAAGAAGCCAAAAUAGAAGUUAUGGAGUUUGUUGAUUACCUUAAAAAUCCUGAACGAUACAGAAAACUCGGUGCUAAAGUACCAAAAGGAGCUUUACUAUUAGGACCACCAGGAUGUGGCAAAACGCUUUUAGCCAAAGCUGUAGCAACCGAGUCAAAUGUUCCUUUUCUAUCAAUGAAUGGAUCAGAAUUUAUUGAAAUGAUAGGUGGAUUAGGUGCAGCACGUGUCAGAAAUUUAUUUGCAGAAGCUAAAAAAAGAGCACCUAGUAUUAUUUAUAUAGAUGAAAUUGAUGCAAUAGGCAAAAAACGAGCAGAUGGAUUUUCUCAAUCCGGUGACAGCGAAUCUGAACGUACUUUGAAUCAACUUUUAGUAGAAAUGGAUGGAAUGACAACAUCACAGGAUAUUAUCAUCUUAGCCUCAACAAAUAGAGCAGAAGUUCUGGAUAAAGCUUUACUAAGACGUGGUAGAUUUGAUAGACAUAUUCUAAUCGAUCUUCCUACUUUAGACGAAAGAAAACAGAUUUUUGAAUAUCACCUCAACUCAUUAUCAUUAGAAGGCAAAGCAUCGCAAUAUGCCCCAUUUUUAGCUCAUCUUAGUCCUGGCUUUAGUGGUGCGGAUAUAGCAAAUGUUUGCAAUGAGGCUGCAUUACACGCAGCGACUGAGGCAAAGACUAAAGUUGAGAACAGUGACCUUAUGUACGCAAUUGAUAAAGUAUUAGGUGGCACGGUAAAAAAAUCUAGCACGUUAACACCUUCUGAGAAAAAAGUUGUAGUUUAUCACGAGGCUGGUCAUGCAUUAUCAUCGUGGUUACUAGAACAUAUAAGUCCUUUAAUUAAAGUAACAAUAGUACCAAGGACGAACAAACGUUUGGGUUUCACUCAAUAUUCCGACGCGAAUCUAAAACUUCGAAGUUCAGAAAAUCUUUUUCAAAAUAUGUGCGUAUUGUUAGGUGGCAGAGUCGCGGAAAAUAUAAUGUUUAAUAAAAUUUCAACCAGAGCACAGAAUGAUUUGAAGAAGGUAACGGAAUUAGCGUAUCGUCAAGUUCAACAAUUUGGAAUGAGCCCUACUGUAGGUUUAAUUUCUUUCGACAAAGAAUAUACAACUACGAAAACAAAAAAGCCAUAUAGUAAGAAAUUGGCAAGUUUAAUGGAUUUAGAGGUACGGCGAAUAAUUACAGAAGCAUAUAAAACAACUGAAAAGUUAUUAUUAGAUAACAAAGAUAAGUUGAUAAUAUUGGCUGAAGCACUACUGAAAAAAGAAACGUUAACGUAUAAAGAAAUAGAAGCAUUAAUUGGUCCGCCACCUUUUGGAAAAAAGGAUGUUCUUGAAGUAGAAGAACUUGUUACAGAAGCAAAGUAAACGAGGAUCGAACACACAUACUGUUGUAGCUUAUUUUGAUUAAGAUUUUUAUGAUAUUAAUUAAUAAUACGAAAUAUGAUUUAUAUGUAAAUUUUGUGAAAUACUAUUUACUUUGAUACGUCUACAGUCAUGCUACAGGUACCGAAAGUUCCAUGAAUAGCUUUUAUAUUAAAAAAAUCUUAUCGAUUACUUGUACAUUAUUUCGUUAUUUUUAUUAACUAAAAUUUCAAAUAUCUAGUAUUAGUAUUUUUAAUUAAAUAAGUCGCAGGAACUUUUAACUAUUCAAUGGAUGGAUUCCUAUAAAAAUUCAAGCGUUAUUCACGUAUGGAUAAUAUAGUAGUCAACGUGUCAAAGGUAAAACAAUAACUUUUCAAAAAAUAUGAAACAUAAUGAAAGAAAUACAACUUUAUUUGGAUAAAAAAGUAAUUUUUACAAAAGUAUACUUAUUAGAAGAAAUUAAAUUCAAAACAUAAGUCAAAAUUAACUACUUUGGUUUAACAUAAACAAAAAUUAUUUUAGACUUUUUAUAGCGAAAUAAGGCUAACUUAAUAUUUGAAUUAUGUGAUAAAUAUAUUACAUGUAUAUAUAUAUUUAUAUGUAUUGUGUAAAUAUAACGAAUUGCAAUGUAAAAUAAUAAAUCUUAUAAUUUAAAACAUUCUUUGUUAUUUAAUACUGUAAAAGAAUGGUUCUUGAUGCUAUAACGGAAUUUAUAUGAAGUUUAGCUUAUUAACAAAUUCAACUUUUUCUGAAAAUAUUAAUAAUAAUCGAUAACAAUAAUAA